rnacentral:rRNA from 1 species
AGAACGAACGCUGGCGGCAGGCUUAACACAUGCAAGUCGAGCGCUGUAGCAAUACAGAGCGGCGCACGGGUGAGUAACACGUGGGAACAUGCCUUUCGGUUCGGAAUAACUCAGGGAAACUUGUGCUAAUACCGGAUACGCCCUUACGGGGAAAGAUUUAUUGCCGAAAGAGUGGCCCGCGUUGGAUUAGCUAGUUGGCGGGGUAAAAGCCCACCAAGGCGACGAUCCAUAGCUGGUCUGAGAGGACGACCAGCCACACUGGGACUGAGACACGGCCCAGACUCCUACGGGAGGCAGCAGUGGGGAAUCUUGGACAAUGGGGAAACCCUGAUCCAGCCAUGCCGCGUGAGUGAUGAAGGCCCUAGGGUUGUAAAACUCUUUCGGCGGGGACAUAAUGACGGUACCCGCAGAAGAAGCUCCGGCUAACUUCGUGCCAGCAGCCGC